rnacentral:rRNA from 1 species
CACGUAGGGGGCAAGCGUUGUCCGGAUUUAUUGGGCGUAAAGAGCUCGUAGGCGGCUCAGUUAGUCGGGUGUGAAACCCCCGGGCUCAACCCGGGGACGCCACCCGAUACUGCUGUGGCUAGAGUCCGGUAGGGGAGCGUGGAAUUCCUGGUGUAGCGGUGAAAUGCGUAGAGAUCAGCAGGAACACCCGUGGCGAAGGCGGCUUCCUGGGUCACCACUGACGCUGAGGCGCGAAAGCGUGGGGAGCGAACGGG